AGGCGAAAAGAACCCCGGCGAGGGGAGUGAAAAAGAACCUGAAACCGUGUACGUACAAGCAGUGGGAGCACAGGUUUACCUGUGUGACUGCGUACCUUUUGUAUAAUGGGUCAGCGACUUAUAUUCUGUAGCAAGGUUAACCGAAUAGGGGAGCCGGAGGGAAACCGAGUCUUAAUUGGGCGUUAAGUUGCAGGGUAUAGACCCGAAACCCGGUGAUCUAGCCAUGGGCAGGUUGAAGGUUGGGUAACACUAACUGGAGGACCGAACCGACUAAUGUUGAAAAAUUAGCGGAUGACCUGUGGCUGGGGGUGAAAGGCCAAUCAAACCGGGAGAUAGCUGGUUCUCCCCGAAAGCUAUUUAGGUAGCGCCUCGUGAAUUCAUCUCCGGGGGUAGAGCACUGUUUCGGCUAGGGGGCCAUCCCGGCUUACCAACCCGAUGCAAACUGCGAAUACCGGAGAAUGUUAUCACGGGAGACACACGGCGGGUGCUAACGUCCGUCGUGAAGAGGGAAACAACCCAGACCGCCAGCUAAGGUCCCAAAGUCAUGGUUAAGUGGGAAACGAUGUGGGAAGGCCCAGACAGCCAGGAUGUUGGCUUAGAAGCAGCCAUCAUUUAAAGAAAGCGUAAUAGCUCACUGGUCGAGUCGGCCUGCGCGGAAGAUGUAACGGGGCUAAACCAUGCACCGAAGCUGCGGCAGCGAACGUAUCACCCAAGACAACUUUACGGAGUUGACGAUUGACGGAGCGAAGCGACGUCAAAGCGUUCAUUAAAGUCGAGUUGGCUUAGGGAUACGUUCGUUGGGUAGGGGAGCGUUCUGUAAGCCUGUGAAGGUGGCCUGUGAGGGUUGCUGGAGGUAUCAGAAGUGCGAAUGCUGACAUAAGUAACGAUAAAGCGGGUGAAAAGCCCGCUCGCCGGAAGACCAAGGGUUCCUGUCCAACGUUAAUCGGGGCAGGGUGAGUCGACCCCUAAGGCGAGGCCGAAAGGCGUAGUCGAUGGGAAACGGGUUAAUAUUCCCGUACUUGGUGUUACUGCGAAGGGGGGACGGAGAAGGCUAUGUUGGCCGGGCGACGGUUGUCCCGGUUUAAGCGUGUAGGUGUGUGUUCCAGGUAAAUCCGGUUCACUUUAACACUGAGGCGUGAUGACGAGGCACUACGGUGCUGAAGCAACAAAUGCCCUGCUUCCAGGAAAAGCCUCUAAGCAUCAGGUAACAUCAAAUCGUACCCCAAACCGACACAGGUGGUCAGGUAGAGAAUACCAAGGCGCUUGAGAGAACUCGGGUGAAGGAACUAGGCAAAAUGGUGCCGUAACUUCGGGAGAAGGCACGCUGACACGUAGGUGAAGUGAUUUACUCACGGAGCUGAAGUCAGUCGAAGAUACCAGCUGGCUGCAACUGUUUAUUAAAAACACAGCACUGUGCAAACACGAAAGUGGACGUAUACGGUGUGACGCCUGCCCGGUGCCGGAAGGUUAAUUGAUGGGGUCAGCGCAAGCGAAGCUCCUGAUCGAAGCCCCGGUAAACGGCGGCCGUAACUAUAACGGUCCUAAGGUAGCGAAAUUCCUUGUCGGGUAAGUUCCGACCUGCACGAAUGGCGUAAUGAUGGCCAGGCUGUCUCCACCCGAGACUCAGUGAAAUUGAACUCGCUGUGAAGAUGCAGUGUACCCGCGGCAAGACGGAAAGACCCCGUGAACCUUUACUAUAGCUUGACACUGAACAUUGAGCCUUGAUGUGUAGGAUAGGUGGGAGGCUUUGAAGUGUGGACGCCAGUCUGCAUGGAGCCGACCUUGAAAUACCACCCUUUAAUGUUUGAUGUUCUAACGUGGACCCGUGAUCCGGGUUGCGGACAGUGUCUGGUGGGUAGUUUGACUGGGGCGGUCUCCUCCUAAAGAGUAACGGAGGAGCACGAAGGUUGGCUAAUCCUGGUCGGACAUCAGGAGGUUAGUGCAAUGGCAUAAGCCAGCUUGACUGCGAGCGUGACGGCGCGAGCAGGUGCGAAAGCAGGUCAUAGUGAUCCGGUGGUUCUGAAUGGAAGGGCCAUCGCUCAACGGAUAAAAGGUACUCCGGGGAUAACAGGCUGAUACCGCCCAAGAGUUCAUAUCGACGGCGGUGUUUGGCACCUCGAUGUCGGCUCAUCACAUCCUGGGGCUGAAGUAGGUCCCAAGGGUAUGGCUGUUCGCCAUUUAAAGUGGUACGCGAGCUGGGUUUAGAACGUCGUGAGACAGUUCGGUCCCUAUCUGCCGUGGGCGCUGGAGAACUGAGGGGGGCUGCUCCUAGUACGAGAGGACCGGAGUGGACGCAUCACUGGUGUUCGGGUUGUCAUGCCAAUGGCACUGCCCGGUAGCUAAAUGCGGAAGAGAUAAGUGCUGAAAGCAUCUAAGCACGAAACUUGCCCCGAG
rnacentral:rRNA from 1 species